rnacentral:rRNA from 1 species
CGCUUCUUUCCUCCCGAGUGCUUGCACUCAAUUGGAAAGAGGAGUGGCGGACGGGUGAGUAACACGUGGGUAACCUACCCAUCAGAGGGGGAUAACACUUGGAAACAGGUGCUAAUACCGCAUAACAGUUUAUGCCGCAUGGCAUAAGAGUGAAAGGCGCUUUCGGGUGUCGCUGAUGGAUGGACCCGCGGUGCAUUAGCUAGUUGGUGAGGUAACGGCUCACCAAGGCCACGAUGCAUAGCCGACCUGAGAGGGUG